GACAGAGGUGCCAAGCGUUAGGCGGAAUCACUGGGCUUAAAGCGUGUGUAGGCGGAUUCGUAAGUACCUUGUGAAAUCCCACGGCUUAACCGUGGAACUGCUCGGUAUACUGCGUAUCUUGGGCCAUCUAGGGGCUACCGGAACAAAUGGUGGAGCGGUGAAAUGCGUAGAUAUCGUGAGGAAGACCAGUGGCGAAGGCGGAUCUCUGGACAGUUCCUGACGCUGAGGCGCGAAGGCCAGGGGAGCAAACGGG
rnacentral:rRNA from 1 species